AGCCCUGCAGAUGACUGGAGAGGUGUCUGCAACCGGGGGUGGGAGGUCAGAGGCAGCCAGAGAGAGCCAUCAAGGCCCCAAAAUAACUCCCGCUUCUGCCUGGAGGCUCUGAAACUAAUCAAGGGCAAAAUGACGGUGGGAACUCUCAAAUGAGAAGAAAAACUUGGAGGAAGUUUCCCAAGCACCCCCACCUUCCCCUCAUUUGUCUGAUUCAGAACCUACUCUUCAGAGAAGUCCCAGGAGAAAGAACAGCAAGCACCCCCCACUGCUCUAGGAAGAACCUGAAUCAGACCGAGGAACCAUCGUCAUCUUGUGGCACAGAUGAGGAAACUGAGGUCUGGGGACGUGAAUUAACCUCCCCGGCAGCACGUGGCUGGAAAAUGGAGAGGGGACAGGCAAAACCGUGCACCGGAUGGUUGGACGCGGGCAAGGACUCAAGUCGGAUGGCCUUGGGAUCGAAUUCUAAUCCAGCUCUUUACUGGAUGUGACUUUGGUCUGAGCCCCAGCUGCAUCAAUAAAAUGGGCGUAGUGUUGGGAUUAAGAGAAUUGAAA